UUUUCAUCGGAUAUUUUCCUGAUCAUACAACGCCAGGUUUUGUCAAGAUGCAGUUCUCCUUUAGCCUGUUUGUUUUCCUCGUCCUGUUGGUUCUGGCUGUGACUAUGUUCACCUCGUCAGAAGCAUACAGGUACUGGUGGAAACCCAGAAGAUACUGGGGACCGUAUAGACCUUAUGGCGGCUCCUAUGAAUCCAGAGGCUGGGAUUGGGAUGAUUAAACAAUGGCAGUUGGUGUCAACGAUUGGAUGUUGUUCUUUAGAUUGUUAUAUUGAUGGCG